rnacentral:rRNA from 1 species
UAAUACUGCAAGUCGAGCGGACAGAUGGGAGCUUGCUCCCUGAUGUUAGCGGCGGACGGGUGAGUAACACGUGGGUAACCUGCCUGUGAGACUGGGAUAACUCCGGGAAACCGGAGCUAAUACCGGAUGNUUGCUUGAACCGCAUGGUUCAAAGAUGAAAGAUGGCUUCGGCUGUCACUUACAGAUGGACCCGCGGCGCAUUAGCUAGUUGGUGAGGUAAUGGCUCACCAAGGCGACGAUGCGUAGCCGACCUGAGAGGGGGAUCGGCCACACUGGGACUGAGACACGGCCCACACUCCUACGGGAGGCAGCAGUAGGGAAUCUUCCGCAAUGGACGAAAGUCUGACAGAGCAACGCCGCGUGAGUGAUGAAGGUUUUCGGAUCGUAAAGCUCUGUUGUUAUGGAAGAACAAGUGNNNGACGAACAGCGCGCGCCCUUNNNGGGACCUAACCCAAAAGCCCCGGGUAAUAAGUGGCCACAAACCCGGGGAAACCCUAGGGGGCAAAGGUUUUCCGGAAUUUUUGGGGGUAAAGGGUCCCCAGGGGGUUUCUUAAGCCGAAGGGGAAAGCCCCCGGCUCACCCGGGGAGGGGCAUUGGAAACUGGGGAACUUGAUGGCAAAAAAAGAAAAGGGAAUUCCCCGGGUACCGGGGAAAUGNNUAAAAAUGGGGAGGAACCCCAUUGGGGAAAGGGAACUUUUUGGGCGGGAACUGACCCUGAGGAACGAAAACCUGGGGGAGNAACNNGGAUUAAAAACCCCGGGAGUCCCCCCCGAAAACAAAGAAGGCUAAAGGUUAAGGGGGUUCCCCCCCUUAAGGGGGGGNCUAACGCAUUAAGCACUCCCCCCGGGGGAGAAGGGCCCCAAAACUGAAACNCAAAGGAAUGGACGGGGGCCCCCCAAACCGGGGGAGAAAUGGGGUUUAUUUCUAAGCAACCGGGAAAAACCUUUCCAGGGUUGGAAACCCUUUGGAAAACCUAAAAAAAAGGGGGUUCCCCUUUCGGGGGCAAAAGGAAAAGGGGGGAAAGGGUGUU